ensembl:lncRNA
UUUUAUAAAUCACAAUAUGUGCGUGGAAAAUUGCGUACGCAUGUUUCUAUUCCCAUUUUGUGCGUACGCAACGUUUAUAAAUGAGACCCCAGUGUAGGAGCCAUGUAAUGGGAAAAUCAUGUGAUCUAAUGUUUAUGGGAGUGUCAUUCAUUAAGUGGGGUUAAAAACACCUGUGGGGUGUGUGCGGGAGGAAGGGAAGAAUGGGGGUGAGUGCUGCAGCACAUAUUUUGUUGACAGUACAAGCCUGUACAAACCUGUACAAAUAAAACAACAGUUAAGCUUUUAAGGAAACGUGUCACGAAAGUUAUUCCUCCACUCAGCUCCUUAGCGGUCUUUGGAUUGUUCUUUAUAUGCCGCUACAUGAUAGUCAACAAAAUUGUUUGUUUGAGAACGUGAAAGCGUCUACUUUGGAUUCAGGAGCCAGGCCCUCACGCUUAGACUGGACGGAAAGGAAGAGCAGGCUGCGCAGCGCCGACUGAAGGGGAUUUACACGCUUGUGUUAACAAGAAGGAUCAUUGCACAUUGGACUUCCAAAGCAAGGGGACCGACGUCUUUGGAUACGUUCGCUGCUAAUAAUCAUCACACAAUUGGACGUUCAAGGCAGCAGGAUUGACAGAGCUGGACGGAACAACAAGAGCAGUAAGUGUGGAUUCAGAGGAGGAACUGAAGAACAUGACUGUUGAAGAGUUCAUAAGAAGAUUCAAUCCCGAAGACAAAUGGGACUUCAGAUUUAUCUUCGAGGGCAGACAGCUGGAGGAUGGUCGUACACUUGGUUCUUAUGGCAUAAAUGACUGUUCUACUAUUCAUGCAGUUCAGUGUCUACGUGGUGGAGACCCAAGCUGUGCACCUGAAGAUGGAGAUGAAGGAAUGCCCAGGACUGAAUCAAUGGAAGUAUUAGCUGAAAUGCAGAAAUGCCAAAAAAUAAAUGAAUAACUUCCCUUCAGUGCAGCGUCCAUAAAGUACACAGAUGCUCUUCUCUAUUGACUGUAUUCUCUUGUGUCAUAGAAUAUUUUACUUUUACUUAAGAGGCUGAAAUCAGAACAUAAUACAUGAUAUUGAAAUUAUGGUAGUAAAUUUGAACAAAAUAUGAAAAAACAGUGUUUAAAUAAAUUAAAGUCUCCGUUCUGUCCUUUUACGCUG